CAUUCCCUCUAAAAUGCCUCGCCAGACACGCCACGGGCCACUGCGCCGGAAGUCGCUUCCGGCGACGGUGGCCACCAAAACACACACCGGAGUUAACAAAAAGUUCAUCUCCUCACGCUCUGCUUGGAUCCUUAGUCAAUUUCACGAAAUCGGAGCCUCACAACCCUAACCGAAGCUCCACUCUCCAAGAACCCUAAAGUGUAAUCCUCAAAUUAAAUUCUAACCUCAAUGAUUCAAAGCCCUAGGGAUGAGGGCUUCAAAUCCUCUCUUCACUCUCUACAUACUGGUAACCAAGCAUUGAAGAAAUGCGAAGGUUUACAGAAUUACCUUGUUGGAAGUCGCGACGGUGAUGAUUUGAUUCCAGGUCAAAACAUGUUUCCAUGUGCUCAUGCCUCUAUUGCAUUGGACUGUUGGUGUAAGGCAUUCGUGUUAAUUUGAAAUGAAUUUGAAGCCAAUUUUCAAGUGAAUUUGAAGUUGAAUUUAUAAUGAACUUGUUGUGUUAUUGGUUUAGGUCAUGGGCCACUGCCUUUGUAGGGUUUGUAACAAGUGGUUUGUGGCAUGCAUAUGAAUCAUGGCUUUGUUUUGGCAAUGAAAGGAUCCUGUAGGUAUGACUUGGAUUUGAGACAGGUUUGUGGUUGUGCAGGUAUAUGAACUGUUAGAUAUGAACUUGUGCACGUUAUUCCUGGCAGGUAAGGUCUUUUGCAAUGUAAAUUGUUUCACAUUAUCUUGCUACAAGUUGGAUCAAAGUUCAUGAAUUGCCCCCAAUCCACAACCUGGUUUGUUGUAGGAUUUUAUUUGGUGCAUGCUUGUAUUCUAUUGCAGGUGUGGUAAUGUUCUUCUCUAUGUUUUUGUGUCCACCAUAGUGCGGAUGGAAUGGCUGCAUGCCAGAUUACUAGGACUGAUGUGUUGUUGUAAUUUUGUUGCAAACUCUGCAGGUUGAUGUAAGGCAUUGCUCAACAAAGUUGCAAGGCAAAUCCUGGUGUACCAUGAACUCAUGACUUUUGUGCAAGUCAACUGGUUUUGGCAUAGUGAGUCCAUGCUUUCUAGUAGUUGGCAUAUUUUAUGGCAGAUUGGGCAUGAUCUGGUGUGUUGGCUGCAGGCUGAAGGAUGCUAGGCAUGGUGUAGUAGGUCCUGAGCUGUCAUGAUUUUUCUUUGCAGGAUUUCAUAAGUCUGCUACAGGAAAUCACAUUCUGACUUGGACAGGUUACGGAGAUGUAAUAGCUAGGCCAUCUUAUUUGAUCAGAACCAAAGGCCAUGUAGCUUGGAUUAAGGCUUGGUGGACAUGAUUAUGAACAUGGACAAUGUUACUUAUAAAUGAAGAAACAUGGCACAAGCAAACCAACAUGACCUUUAGAUGAUGAAUCAAGGCAAGGUGGAUUAGAUUAUAUCUUAGGUGGCCAAAAAGGGAUGAGUUGACGUUGGUCAAAGUUGACCAAAAAGUCAAUUGUUGACCAAAGUCAACACUUGGUCAAAGUUGCUAAAAUUUGUAAUUUUUCAUGUAAUGAUCAAUGUAAUGGAUCGAAUGGAUUGUAAAUGGAUCGUAAUAGAUUGAAUGGAAGUUAGAUGGUU